UUAAGUUAAUAAGGGCGCACGGUGGAUGCCUUGGCACUAGAAGCCGAUGAAGGACGUGACUAACGACGAAAUGCUUUGGGGAGCUGUAAGUGAGCAAUGAUCCAGAGAUGUCCGAAUGGGGGAACCCGGCAGGUAAUGCCUGUCACUCAUUACUGUUAAGGUAAUGUAGAGGAAGACGCAGUGAACUGAAACAUCUAAGUAGCUGUAGGAAGAGAAAGCAAAAGCGAUUGCCUUAGUAGCGGCGAGCGAAACGGCAAGAGGGCAAACCGAAGAGUUUACUCUUCGGGGUUGUAGGACUGCAACGUGGACUUAAAGAUUAUAGAAGAACUACCUGGGAAGGUAGGCCAAAGAGAGUAAUAGCCUCGUAUUCGAAAUAGUCUUUAUACCUAGCAGUAUCCUGAGUACGGCGAGACACGAGAAAUCUCGUCGGAAUCUGGGAGGACCAUCUCCCAACCCUAAAUACUCUCUAGUGACCGAUAGUGAACCAGUACCGUGAGGGAAAGGUGAAAAGCACCCCGGGAGGGGAGUGAAAUAGAACCUGAAACCGUGUGCCUACAACAAGUUCGAGCCCGUUAAUGGGUGAGAGCGUGCCUUUUGUAGAAUGAACCGGCGAGUUACGAUAUGAUGCGAGGUUAAGUUGAAGAGACGGAGCCGUAGGGAAACCGAGUCUUAAUAGGGCGCAUUAGUAUCAUGUCGUAGACCCGAAACCAUGUGACCUACCCAUGAGCAGGUUGAAGGUGAGGUAAAACUCACUGGAGGACCGAACCAGGGCACGUUGAAAAGUGCUUGGAUGACUUGUGGGUAGCGGAGAAAUUCCAAACGAACUUGGAGAUAGCUGGUUCUCUCCGAAAUAGCUUUAGGGCUAGCGUCGAUGUUAAGUCUCUUGGAGGUAGAGCACUGUUUGGGUGAGGGGUCCAUCCCGGAUUACCAAUCUCAGAUAAACUCCGAAUGCCAAUGAGAUAUAAUCGGCAGUCAGACUGCGAGUGCUAAGAUCCGUAGUCGAAAGGGAAACAGCCCAGACCACCAGCUAAGGUCCCAAAAUAUAUGUUAAGUGGAAAAGGAUGUGGGGUUGCACAGACAACUAGGAUGUUAGCUUAGAAGCAGCUAUUCAUUCAAAGAGUGCGUAAUAGCUCACUAGUCGAGUGACCCUGCGCCGAAAAUGUACCGGGGCUAAAACAUAUUACCGAAGCUGUGGAUACCUUUAUAGGUAUGGUAGGAGAGCGUUCUAUGUGCGAAGAAGGUGUACCGUGAGGAGUGCUGGAGCGCAUAGAAGUGAGAAUGCCGGUAUGAGUAGCGAAAGACAGGUGAGAAUCCUGUCCACCGUAAGACUAAGGUUUCCAGGGGAAGGCUCGUCCGCCCUGGGUUAGUCGGGACCUAAGGAGAGACCGAAAGGUGUAUCCGAUGGACAACAGGUUGAUAUUCCUGUACUAGAGUAUAUAGUGAUGGAGGGACGCAGUAGGCUAACUAAACCAGACGAUUGGAAGUGUCUGGCCAAGCAGUGAGGUGUGAUAUGAGUCAAAUGCUUAUAUCUUUAACAUUGAGCUGUGAUGGGGAGCGAAGUUUAGUAGCGAAGUUAGUGAUGUCACACUGCCGAGAAAAGCUUCUAGCGUUAAUUAUACUCUACCCGUACCGCAAACCGACACAGGUAGUCGAGGCGAGUAGCCUCAGGUGAGCGAGAGAACUCUCGUUAAGGAACUCGGCAAAAUGGCCCCGUAACUUCGGGAGAAGGGGCGCUGACUGAUGGUCAGCCGCAGUGAAUAGGCCCAAGCAACUGUUUAUCAAAAACACAGCUCUCUGCUAAAUCGUAAGAUGAUGUAUAGGGGGUGACGCCUGCCCGGUGCUGGAAGGUUAAGAGGAGUGCUUAGCGUAAGCGAAGGCAUGAAUUGAAGCCCCAGUAAACGGCGGCCGUAACUAUAACGGUCCUAAGGUAGCGAAAUUCCUUGUCGGGUAAGUUCCGACCCGCACGAAAGGCGUAAUGAUUUGGGCACUGUCUCAACGAGAGACUCGGUGAAAUUUUAGUACCUGUGAAGAUGCAGGUUACCCGCGACAGGACGGAAAGACCCCAUGGAGCUUUACUGCAGUUUGAUAUUGAGUAUCUGUACCACAUGUACAGGAUAGGUAGGAGCCUAUGACCUCGGGACGCCAGUUUCGAGUGAGGCGUUGUUGGGAUACUACCCUUGUGUUAUGGCUACUCUAACCCAGAUAGGUUAUCCCUAUCGGAGACAGUGUCUGACGGGCAGUUUGACUGGGGCGGUCGCCUCCUAAAAGGUAACGGAGGCGCCCAAAGGUUCCCUCAGAAUGGUUGGAAAUCAUUCGCAGAGUGUAAAGGUAUAAGGGAGCUUGACUGCGAGAGCUACAACUCGAGCAGGGACGAAAGUCGGGCUUAGUGAUCCGGUGGUUCCGUAUGGAAGGGCCAUCGCUCAACGGAUAAAAGCUACCCUGGGGAUAACAGGCUUAUCUCCCCCAAGAGUUCACAUCGACGGGGAGGUUUGGCACCUCGAUGUCGGCUCAUCGCAUCCUGGAGCUG
rnacentral:rRNA from 1 species